rnacentral:sRNA from 1 species
GCGGAUAACCCUUGUACACUUUCAGUGUACCGUUUUUCAGAAGCUUAACAGCGAGGCGCGCAGAGCUGUCGAUCGGCACGA